rnacentral:rRNA from 1 species
UACGGAGGGGGCUAGCGUUGUUCGGAAUUACUGGGCGUAAAGCGCACGUAGGCGGAUUGGAAAGUUGGGGGUGAAAUCCCGGGGCUCAACCCCGGAACUGCCUUCAAAACUCCCAGUCUGGAGGUCGAGAGAGGUGAGUGGAAUUCCGAGUGUAGAGGUGAAAUUCGUAGAUAUCUGGAGGAACACCAGUGGCGAAGGCGGCAUCCUGGACCGGUAUUGACGCUGAGGCGCGAAAGCUAGGGUAGCAAACGGG